CGCCGAAGCGGCGCGGAACGGAGGCCGCUUCCUUUCGGCACCCAUGUUAACCUAUGGUGUCGUUCACACCAGACGCGGAGACGCACCGCGAGCGAUCCGCGUGAAUUCCGGCAGGAAGUCACACCAAGAAACACGAGACAAUCUGGUCAAUUGUCAAAAUAUAAGCAAUUUUCAAAUUAAAAUACCGCGAGUGACAAAUGCGAUCAUAUUUGUGUAUCUAAACAGACUAGAAAGAUGAAAAAAAAAAACACAA